CACCUCGACGUUGUAUAAUCAUGAUGUGCUGCCAGAUGUUGGAUUCCCUCUCGUCGGUUCUUCGAGCUUUCGGUCCAGUGCCCCGCGAGGCAGGCUGCGCUCGCUUGUCUCGCUCGGCUGCUGGCUGGCUGGCUGCUGUUGGGGCAAGACAAAGCAGUGGUUGUGCCCCGGGAUCUGUGGCCUCAGCACGGCAAAAAGUUCUCACACACAGUGAAAGAUCGGAAAGGAUGGAAAGAGAAUGAGAGUGGGGGAAACAACAAAGUUGGCUGACAUCACUGGAGCAGGAACAGAUGAGGAGGAUGAGGAAUACCCCGCCGAAUGGCAACAGCAAAAGAUACAGGAUAGCUUCAGUCUUCCAUACUUAUAUGACAAGAGCAGCUUGGCAAAGGUAACACAUGACAACAGAAGGGGCUGGGGGCAGAGGCCCCUGUGUAUACACCAGCAGCUGGCUCUACUAUCCUGUUCCAAUGAUGCUGUUUACCAAAUACGGCGGAGAGAGGAACCUCGAAAGGUCAAACAGGGAUGCUGCAUCAUGUUAAAAUAAUGAACGUAGAAAUGAAAAGGUGACUUAACUCUCACGUUGUUGCCAUACACAGUUAGAGACGAACCCGGUUCAUUAAAGAGGAAGUCAAGUCCAAAAUUAUCUUUCCAAUAAUAUGUUCAAUGCGACCCUGUCAGUCUAAACCAGUUGUGGGCAAACUAUGGCACGCGGGCCGAAUCCGGCCCGUUGGUCCUUUUAAUCCGGGCCGCCAAAGGUUGGUCCAAUUAAGGUUCGAUGUGAAUGAUUUUCAUUUCAAUUGGACUUGUAAUGACAGGCAUUUCACCGCUAGGUGGCGCAUUGACUAUAAGUUGCAGAACAGGGGGGGCGGCGGAUCUUUUCGACCACCUAGGACCUCUGUAUUUUUUUUUAAUGUACCAUAGCUCGUGCUGACCUGGCCCUUCUGUCAAAUUUUAAAAGUCAAUGCAGCCCCCGAGCCAAAAUGUUUGCCCACCCCUGGUCUAAACACAGUAUUCUGAUUCAUAAUGCGUUUUGUAGACCAUGAAUUAAGCUGCAAAAUCCACCUGUUUUAACCAACUCACGGGGUGGCCAUUUUCCCACUUGUUGUUGAACGAAGAUGACAUUGCAGUUUCUAAUGGCUCAGCUUACAAACGUCACAUGACCAACCUCCCCCAUCCAGAAAACAAGUGAGUCAUGAUUGAUCAUUACCUGAGCCUUUAGGCACUGUGAUGUCAUUUUCAGUCGACGGCAAGUGGCAGUAAAGGGCAAAAUGGAUACCCUUUGAGAUGCAUGUGGUCAGCUGGAUUGCUGCUUAA